AGAUUUCUUUUAACACAAUUUAAAAAUCAUGCACUAUAAAUUUAUAAAUUUUGUGAUAAUAUUACAUUAAAAUUGUACUUAAUUUCAAAAAAAAAAAAAAUUAAUUAUAAAUUUUAUUAAAUUAAAUUAUAAAAAUGGUAAUUUAUUUACACAAAAAUUAAGAGUACGUUAUUUGCAAGCUAGAUCUACGCAGAUAAAAAUUUGACUUAGAGGUUAUAGCUUCGAUGCAAAGCUGAGAAGGAUUUUUUUUGUGACUAUCAAUUAUUUUCUCUGCUCUAACUUGACCUACUUUUUUCAACGAUACGUCAAAUGAUUACAAUUAGUUGAAGAUAUUACCCUCAAAAAUUGAAAAAAAUUCUAAUCUAUCAAUUAAACAGUUACUUGUUAAUAAAUUAUUUCAAUAAAUGGCAUUAGGCGGCCCGCGGGAGUUAGAGGGAUUCGAAAUUGAACAAACAUUAUAUCAAAAUUUGGUAAAUUAUUAGUAGUUGGUAUCUAAUAAAAUAUUCGUGUAAAAAAUGUAUGCAUAGUAAAUAAAUGAACAUUUAUUUUUGAUAUAUUUAUAUUUUUUGUUUUAAUAAUACUGUCCGAUUCAUUAUCAAAUUUUGUAGCUAAAAAACAUAUUCAAUUGACUAUUAUCUAUAAUCUGUGACUAUUUGCCUGCCACUAUGAGAGCAGAUUUUGUGCUGAAUUUUAAUUUUAAAAACAAGCUUUUACAAUUAGGAGUAUUAUAGCAAAUUUUCUUUUUCUACUAUAACGUUAAACUUCAAGUCUUUCAAUG